rnacentral:rRNA from 1 species
UACAGAGGUCCCAAGCGUUGUUCGGAUUCACUGGGCGUAAAGGGUGCGUAGGUGGCGGGGUAAGUCUGAUGUGAAAUCUCCAAGCUUAACUUGGAAAUGGCAUUGGAAACUACCUCGCUAGAGGGUUGGAGGGGAGACUGGAAUUCUUGGUGUAGCAGUGAAAUGCGUAGAUAUCAAGAGGAACACCAGUGGCGAAAGCGAGUCUCUGGACAACUCCUGACACUGAGGCACGAAAGCUAGGGGAGCAAACAGG